rnacentral:rRNA from 3 species
UCAAAUGAAUUGACGGGGGCCCGCACAAGCGGUGGAGCAUGUGGUUUAAUUCGAUGCAACGCGAAGAACCUUACCUGGUCUUGACAUCCACGGAAGUUUUCAGAGAUGAGAAUGUGCCUUCGGGAACCGUGAGACAGGUGCUGCAUGGCUGUCGUCAGCUCGUGUUGUGAAAUGUUGGGUUAAGUCCCGCAACGAGCGCAACCCUUAUCCUUUGUUGCC